rnacentral:rRNA from 1 species
GAUGAACGCUGGCGGCGUGCCUAAUACAUGCAGGUCGAGCGAACAGACGAGGAGCUUGCUCCUCUGACGUUAGCGGCGGACGGGUGAGUAACACGUGGAUAACCUACCUAUAAGACUGGGAUAACUUCGGGAAACCGGAGCUAAUACCGGAUAAUAUAUUGAACCGCAUGGUUCAAUAGUGAAAGACGGUUUUGCUGUCACUUAUAGAUGGAUCCGCGCCGCAUUAGCUAGUUGGUAAGGUAACGGCUUACCAAGGCAACGAUGCGUAGCCGACCUGAGAGGGUGAUCGGCCACACUGGAACUGAGACACGGUCCAGACUCCUACGGGAGGCAGCAGUAGGGAAUCUUCCGCGAUGGGCGAAAGCCUGACGGAGCAACGCCGCGUGAGUGAUGAAGGUCUUCGGAUCGUAAAACUCUGUUAUUAGGGAAGAACAAAUGUGUAAGUAACUAUGCACGUCUUGACGGUACCUAAUCAGAAAGCCACGGCUAACUACGUG